CAAAGAAAGAAAGAAGGAAGGAAGGAAGGAAAAGAAAGCAAAUGAAAGCCUGAAAGCCCCUGUGGAGAAGCCUCGCUGCUUAGCCAGGCCCAGUCCCCAGGGCAGUUGAGAGGGACAGCGUCCAGCCUCAGGCAGAGUUUUUCCCUGGGGCCUGCGGGGCCGGGUAGGGACCAGCGCUGCUCAAACAGUAAAGGAGAGACAGGCCACUGGGGAUUCAGGCCGGGGCCGGCUGUGUCGUGUCGGGAGGGUGGGUACGCACCCCUGAGAGGGUCUGGCUCAGUUUUUAUUUCAGAGCAAACUGUUCUGAUGAAUAGGCCGUCAGGGAUAAAGUGAUGGCUUUGAGGGUGCCACUUACAUAACAAUUAACCCGGUUCCGUUUAUCCCAGCGCUGCUGGAACCAGGCUUCUCUCCGUGCAGUUACUCAUCUGUUUUACGACCCAGUUUCCCCAAGUGGGUCCUUCCUUCCCUGCUGUGCUCAGACACCCGCGGAGCCCGGGGGAGCCCCAGUCCUCUCCCCACGUCCCGGGGCCGUGGGCUGCUCCUCCGCUUCCCCUUCUUCGGAGUCGUGCGCGCCCGCACGUUGUCCCUCGCGCUGUGUCAGGUCCUCUCCCAAUUCCGAGUGAAAGGGGAGGAGAGACGGGCCAGCCCAGGGCUCUGGGGACAGGCUGGGACCGGGGGCGGGCGGGUCCGGCGGGCCCAGGGCCUGAGGAAUGCGCUCUCUCAGAGCCUGAGCCCGGAGCCAGAGGAGGCCCUUUCACGUGCUGCCCCUGUGUUCUGUUUUGGGUGCUGUCCAGGGCGGCCCGGGGGUCUCUAAACAAGUCCCGUGGCUUUGUAAACAGCAUCUGGCUGCCAGCGGUUACGCCUCCCCUGGGCACCCUGGCCUCCCUCCCGACGCCCGGGGCCAGCUUCGGUUUUAUCCGAGACCAGCGGUCAAUCCGAGCAGAUCUCAGAAAGCGAGCCCUCCCUCGGGGAAGGUUGACGGGGUUCCAGGCCGGCUGCACCUUCCAUCACCGAAGGGGCCGAUCUUGGUUUCGUGAGGAAUUUUAUGGGACGGGACGCGAACAGAGGUGAAGAGAGGACGGGCCAGUGCAGGGCCAGGCACUUGGACCAAGAGCUCGGUGACUGUUGGUGGCAGAAGGGCCGACGGGCGUGGCCAGGCCCUGGGGACCCGGGAGCCAUCCGUCCCGCCCUGGGCCCCGGCCUCCAGGCAGAGCUCAUCUGAGGACCAGGCUUCUCCCCACAGGCUCGGACUGCGUCCUGCAGCGCCUGCAGUAGUUGCUGCUUUCAUGGCAGCACAUGUGGUCUGCGGGCACGAGAGGGUGAAGUUUCAGAAUUUAAUUUUGGUAAAAUCGUGAACUAAUUUUGCCACCAUAAAGUUGGAAUUGCCA